GAUGAACGCUGGCGGCGUGCCUAAUACAUGCAAGUCGAGCGAACGGACGAGAAGCUUGCUUCUCUGAUGUUAGCGGCGGACGAGUGAGUAACACGUGGAUAACCUACCUAUAAGACUGGGAUAACUUCGGGAAACCGGAGCUAAUACCGGAUAAUAUUUUGAACCGCAUGGUUCAAAAGUGAAAGACGGUCUUGCUGUCACUUAUAGAUGGAUCCGCGCUGCAUUAGCUAGUUGGUAAGGUAACGGCUUACCAAGGCAACGAUACAUAGCCGACCUGAGAGGGUGAUCGGCCACACUGGAACUGAGACACGGUCCAGACUCCUACGGGAGGCAGCAGUAGGGAAUCUUCCGCAAUGGGCGAAAGCCUGACGGAGCAACGCCGCGUGAGUGAUGAAGGUCUUCGGAUCGUAAAACUCUGUUAUUAGGGAAGAACAUAUGUGUAAGUAACUGUGCACAUCUUGACGGUACCUAAUCAGAAAGCCACGGCUAACUACGUG
rnacentral:rRNA from 1 species